GAGAUCUGAGAUCUGAGAGCGAGAAUAGUGUUUUUUUAUUUUCCAUUUGUUUUUCGUGCUAAAAGAAUGCUACACUAAUUAAGCCAGCAUUCAGGUUUAUCUGUCUAGGUCCGCACCAUAACCUUUGAACAGGAGAGACAACACAGAAGCUUGUAAGCCAGAAGAAAGAAAUCUAGAAAGACAGAAAAAAAGAGAGA